UUCGGGGCGAGGAAGGACAGGUGGUGCAUGGUUGUCGUCAGCUCGUGUCGUGAGAUGUUGGGUUAAGUCCCGCAACGAGCGCAACCCUUAUUGUUAGUUGCUACCAUUUAGUUGAGCACUCUAGCGAGACUGCCCGGGUUAACCGGGAGGAAGGUGGGGAUGACGUCAAAUCAUCAUGCCCCUUAUGUCUAGGGCUACACACGUGCUACAAUGGCUGGUACAGAGAGAUGCAAUACCGUGAGGUGGAGCCAAACUUCAAAACCAGUCUCAGUUCGGAUUGUAGGCUGAAACUCGCCUACAUGAAGCUGGAGUUGCUAGUAAUCGCGAAUCAGAAUGUCGCGGUGAAUACGUUCCCGGGCCUUGUACACACCGCCCGUCACACCAUGAGAGUUGGCAAUACCCAAAGUUCGUGAGCUAACGCGUAAGCGAGGCAGCGACCUAAGGUAGGGUCAGCGAUUGGGGUGAAGUCGUAACAAGGUAGCCGUAGGAGAACCUGCGGCU
rnacentral:rRNA from 1 species